UACGGAGGGAGCUUGCGUUGUUCGGAAUUACUGGGCGUAAAGCGCACGUAGGCGGCUAUUCAAGUCGGGGGUGAAAGCCCGGGGCUCAACCCCGGAACUGCCCUCGAAACUAGAUAGCUAGAAUCUUGGAGAGGCGAGUGGAAUUCCGAGUGUAGAGGUGAAAUUCGUAGAUAUUCGGAAGAACACCAGUGGCGAAGGCGACUCGCUGGACAAGUAUUGACGCUGAGGUGCGAAAGCGUGGGGAGCAAACAGG
rnacentral:rRNA from 1 species